rnacentral:rRNA from 1 species
AUGGCCGAAUCACUGCUUCUCCCUGUGGUGGAAGGCCUGGCCGGCAAGGCCACAGACGCGCUCGUCCAGACCAUGACGACCCGCAUGUGUGGCCUGGACGACGACUGCGAAAAGCUGGAGCGCCAUCUGCUAGCCGUCCAGUGCAAGCUGGCCAACGCGGAGGAAAGGAGCCAGACGAAUGCCUACCUCAGGACCUGGAUGCAGAAGCUCAAGGACGUCGCCUACAAGGCUGGUGACGUGCUCGACGACUUCCAGUACGAGGCGUUGCGCCGCGAAGCCCAAAUCGGCGAGUCCACCUUCCGCAAGGUACUCAGCUACGUCACGCGCCGCAGCCCGCUGCUCUUCCGUUUUGCCAUGAGCAAAAAGCUCAAAGGAGUUCUCAAGAAGAUCAAGGGGCUCGUUGAGGAGAUGAACAUGUUUGGCCUUGAGAAUUCUGUCAAUCGGGAGGGGCCGCAACUUCCUUGGCGGCAGACACACUCCAAACUGGACGAGUCUACCAACAUCUUUGGAAGAGAUGAUGACAAGGAGGGGGUGGUGAAGCUGCUGCUAGACCAACAAGAUCAGCGGAAGGUGCAGGUGCUGCCCAUCUUCGGUAUGGGAGGUCUUGGCAAGACGACACUUGCUAAAAUGGUGUACAAUGACCAAGAGGUCCAGGAACAUUUCCAGUUGAAGAUGUGGCACUGCGUGUCAGACAAUUUUGAUGUUUCUGCCAUUGUGAAAUCCAUCAUUGAAUUGGCUACAAAUGGAAGAUGCGACCUGCCUGACCGCAUCGAACUAUUGCAGAAGAAACUUGACGAAGUCAUUGGCCAGAAGAGGUUUUUUCUUGUUCUUGAUGAUGUAUGGAAUGAAGAAAAGAAGUUGUGGGAGGAUGAACUGAAGCCACUGUUGUGUUCUGUUGGUGGACCAGGAAGUGUCAUUGUGGUCACAUGUCGAAGCAAGCAAGUGGCCUCUAUAAUGCAAACAGUCGAUCCCGUUGAGCUAGCAUUUCUGAGUGAAGAAGAUUCAUGGCAAUUGUUUUCAAACAAAGCAUUUAGCAAUGGUGCAGAGGAGCAAACAGAGUUAGUAGCAAUCGGAAAACGUAUUGUCAACAAAUGCGGGGGGCUGCCUCUUGCUUUGAAGACAAUGGGUGGUUUGCUGAGUUCAAAGCAACAGGUACAUGAAUGGAAGACCAUUGAAGAAACUAACAUUGGGGAUAAUGUUGGAGGCAAAUAUGAGGUCAUGCCCAUACUGAAGUUAAGCUACAAACACCUGUCAUCUGAAAUGAAGCAAUGCUUUGCAUUCUGUGCACUUUCCCCCAAGGAUUAUGAGAUGGAGAAGGAUAUGUUGAUCCAACUAUGGAUGGCAAAUGGCUUUAUUCAAGAAGAGGGAACGAUGGAUUUAGCACAAAAAGGAGAAUUCAUUUUUCAUGAAUUGCUUUGGAGGUCCUUCCUACAAGAUAUGAAGAAAGCUACAGUCAGAUCUGCUGGCCAUGCAUAUGGGACAAUUGUAUGUAAAAUGCAUGACUUAGCCAAAGAUGUUAGCAAUGAAUGUGCCACCAUAGAAGAAUUGAUUGAACAGAAAGUAUUGGUAAACAAUGUAUGUCAUCUGCAAUUACCAAAAGGGGUUGAAUUGGAAAAGACUUCCAGGUUGUUUGAUGGCAAAACAUCUCUCCACACUUUGUUAGCUCUUUCAUGGAUGCAGCAGGAUUUUAAACGACUGCCACAUGUAUCAUUACGGGCAUUGCAUUGGCACGGUUCUAGCACCAGUCUGAAAGCCGUAAAUGCAAAACAUUUACGGUGCCUUGACCUCUCAUAUUGCAGCGCCAAUUCUACAUUGCUCGAUUCAAUAUGUCUAUUGUACAACAUGCAAACUUUGAGGCUCAAUCAUUGCAAGGGGCUACGGCAGUUUCCAGAAGACAUGGAUGAGCUGAGAAAGCUCAUACAUGUUUAUCUUUAUGGAUGUUCUAAUCUGGAGCGGAUGCCUCGAAACAUUGGUCAGCUGAACAACCUUCGCACACUAACAAGAUUUAUUGUGGAUACGAGAGAUGGUUGUGGUAUUGAGGAGCUCAAAGACCUGCGAUACCUUAGCAACAGGUUGGAACUGUACAGCUUGAGAAAAAUAAAGAGUGUAAACCAUGCAAAAGAAGCCAAUCUCAAGCAGAAGCAAUAUCUGAGUGAGUUGUUGUUCUGUUGGGGCCUUGAAAGAUUUGACAGGACUGAAAAUGAGGCAUGUAAUGAGGAAGAAGUGUUCCAGCAUCUAGAACCUCAUAGCAAGAUCCAAAUUUUUGUGUUGUACGGAUACGGUGGCCCAGAAAUGCCAUGGAUGAGAGACCGUCAGAUGUUUCAGUGCUUAAGAAAACUCACCAUUUCCAACUUGACAAGGUGUAAGAAUAUACCUGUAGUAUGGCUCUCACCCUCACUGGAGUUCUUACACUUGAACAACAUGGAUAAACUGAAGACAUUGUGUGAUAACCUUUGCAUAGAAGGUGGAGGAUGCAGUACCCCUCUACAGAUUUUCCCGGAGUUGAAGGAGAUGGUCUUGGAACACCUACCUAGUCUAGAGGGAUGGGCAGAAAACAGUGCGGGUGUGGCCAUUGAUAGCUCAAUAAUAUUCCCGGUGCUUGAGAAGCUAGCAAUCCACUGCUGCCCUAUGCUUGCAAGUUUUCCACAUAGCCCCGUUCUCAAAGACCUGAAUUUAGCGGGAUAUUACUUGGAGGUGGAGUGUUUACGGGAUAUUCCAAGGUUGCCUACAUCCCUUGAAAUUUUGUGGAUUCAAUGCUUUGGAGGUUUGGUGGCGCUGCCUUCAAACCUUGGAGAUCUGGCAAAGCUGAGCGACCUACUGGUGCAUGACUGCAGGAGCCUGAAAGGGUUGCCUGACGGGAUGGAUGGCCUCACUUCUCUUCGGACAUUGGAUAUCUAUCAUUGUCCAGCGAUGGAGGAAUUCCCGAACGGUCUCCUUCAGCGGUUGCCAGCCCUUGACAAACUGUGCAUAUCUAGUUGCCCUGAGUUGCAAAGACGAUGCAGAGAAGGUGGGGAUUAUUUCCACCACUUGGUCCCUAUCCCAGAUAAACACAUCCCAGCUGUUGGGGAUAUUACUAUUAAGUAUAAACCGGCCAUGAGGGGCCGGGUUAUGUUCACAAGGAGUUAG